AUACGGAGGAUCCGAGCGUUAUCCGGAUUUAUUGGGUUUAAAGGGUGCGCAGGCGGGAGAUUAAGUCGGCGGUGAAAUUUUUCAGCUCAACCGUAAAAGUGCCUUCGAAACUGGUUUCCUUGAGUGUAGAUGAAGUAGGCGGAAUUUUUGGUGUAGCGGUGAAAUGCAUAGAUAUCACGAGGAACUCCGAUUGCGCAGGCAGCUUACUAAACUACUACUGACGCUCAGGCACGAAGGCGUGGGGAUCUAACAGGAUUAGAUACCCUGGUAGUCCACGCAGUAAACGAUGAUUACUAGCUGUUUGCGAUACAAUGUAAGCGGCUGAGCGAAAGCGUUAAGUAAUCCACCUGGGGAGUACGUUCGCAAGAAUGAAACUCAAAGGAAUUGACGGGG
rnacentral:rRNA from 1 species